rnacentral:lncRNA from 1 species
UAAGUGGAUCUUGGUAGAUUUUUCUGAAGAGUAAUAAUAAUGUUAAUAAAAUAAUAAUAAUAAAAAUAUGAUAUCUUGAUGGGGGAGUAAUGUCUCUUUUCCACUGUGGUCCUUGUCUUUGAGAGUCAAACACUUGGAAUUAACUUAGUGGCAGAGUUAAAGUGAAAUCGAAGUAAUGCAAAGUUGAAUCAGAAAAGACUUUCGUGUCGUAGAAAAAAGUCUAAAAAUAUGGCAAUCACAUGAAUGAUGUUAGUAUCCGGAACCAAACAAUUUUUUUUUUUUGAAAUUUAUUCAUUCUAUCGUAGUUGUUAGAAAAUUAUUUUUAUCUUAUUUUCUAAAAAAAAUAUGAUUAACUGAAUAUAUAAAUAUUAUGAUGUAACAAAGCUGUGUUGUUGACUUUUUCUUUCUGCGGGAUCUUAAAUAAAGUAUAUGUAAAAUUUCAAAGUGU